rnacentral:rRNA from 1 species
GUAGGUGGCAAGCGUUGUCCGGAAUUAUUGGGCGUAAAGCGCGCGCAGGCGGUCCUUUAAGUCUGAUGUGAAAGCCCACGGCUCAACCGUGGAGGGUCAUUGGAAACUGGGGGACUUGAGUACAGAAGAGGAAAGCGGAAUUCCAAGUGUAGCGGUGAAAUGCGUAGAGAUUUGGAGGAACACCAGUGGCGAAGGCGGCUUUCUGGUCUGUAACUGACGCUGAGGCGCGAAAGCGUGGGGAGCAAACAGGAUUAGAUACCCUGGUAGUCCACGCCGUAAACGAUGAGUGCUAAGUGUUAGGGGGGUUUCCCGCCCCCCUUAGUGCUGCAGCUAACGCAUUAAGCACUCGCCUGGGGGAGUACGGCCGCAAGGCUG